GUUCUUCUAAAAACUAUAUUGAAAGAGCGUAUAAUUAUGAAUUCAAUAACAUUUCGUUUGUUCUUGGCAGCAGUUUUAACCCUAACGGUUACAAUAAUGCCUGCAGUAUAUGCAACUGCUGAACCCGAUGCGGAUGCUUUCCAUGGUCCAUGUCCAGAAGUUAAUGGACGUAAGGUCAAGUGUUGACGGAGCAUAUUCCGAGGGGACUAUUUAUAAGCAUUAAGCUUAUAAAUGUAUUGCAAUUUAUGAAAGCAAUAAACAAAAGUUUAAAUUAGA